UACGUAGGGGGCGAGCGUUGUCCGGAGUUACUGGGCGUAAAGCGCACGCAGGCGGUCUGUUAAGUUUGGAGUGACAGUUGGUGGCUCAACCACCAAAGUGCUUUGAAAACUGAUAGACUUGAGGGCUUCAGAGGGACACGGAAUUCCGGGUGGAGUGGUGAAAUGCGUAGAGAUCCGGAGGAACACCAAAGGCGAAGGCAGUGUCCUGGGGAGUACCUGA
rnacentral:rRNA from 1 species